AACGCACAUUGCGCCCAUUGGUAUUCCGAUGGGCAUGCCUGUUCGAGCGUCAUUAUCCUCCCUCAAACCUCGCGUUUGGUGUUGGGCCGACGUUGUGGAGCUGUCUACAACGGGCCUCAAAGACAAUGACGGCGUCCGUGGGACCCUCCUCGCAACGAGCUUCUCGGAGCACGCGUGGAGUUUCAAGGACCCUCCGGGCCGGUCUUCCUUUCAUACGCCUCCAAGGUUGACCUCGGAUCAGGUAGGAAUACCCGCUGAACUUAA
rnacentral:misc_RNA from 1 species